AAUGUCUGCACGACAGACUACAAUGUCAUCAUGAAGCUGGAGACCUUAGAUGAUGACAAGAGAUUCCUUGUGACCCUGUCUGACCUGGAUGAGCUGAAAGAGAAGUCACCUGAGGAUUGGUUACACCUGAGGAACGCGACCUCCCAUGACCUGGCUCCAAAAUACUACAGUCAGCUGACGCGAGACCAGAUCCUCGGCCUCUACAACAGUUAUAAGCUCGACUUUGAACUGUUCGAUUAUCACAUAGACGAUUAUCUUUCUCUCGUCUAGAGAAUUAAGUCAUUUCAAAGUACUUUUGAAAUGCCUUUUGUGAAUUAUGUUCCUUCUAGACGUUUGGAAUUCUAGGAUUCUGGCGUCAGUUUUAAGUAUAAGCAAGAAGCAUGUCUUCACCUGAUCGUGACUGUUUUUACAAUGUCUUCUUAAAUCUAGUCAUUGUCCUAAAUGACUAUAGACUCAUUAACAGAAACAUAUACGUGAAAGGAAAUCGAGUUUUAUGUAAACUAACCUUUGAUUUCAACUUUUAAGUGCUUAAACAAAUUAACUGUUCGUAAAUGUACCAAAUGGUAACAAAUCAAAAAAUACAAAAAUGCUAUACCCUAAUCAUGAAAUCUUAUGCCUACUGCUCUAACGUAAUAAUUCAAUAUAAACUGCUCAUUAUCUUAAUUUGAAAGGAAAUUGAUUGCCACGUAAAUGAUUAUUGGUAAUUAAAAGAAUAUACUGAAGGGGAAACCACACCAUUUAUUGCAGAUACAGAAUGACGAGUGCUCGCGAAUAUCUGAAUUGUGUACAUGAAAUAUGGAAGAAGUGUUUACAGUUGUGUGACUGAUAACUGAAACCAUGUAUCAGCAAAAUAAAUAUACUUUUGUAAACAAAA